rnacentral:ribozyme from 1 species
UGCCCAGCAACUCCUAUCCCCACCUCCUCACGGUACUGGCCGGGGUACGAGUAACCUGAGGGAAGAUCGGGUAACAAACCCCGUUGGGAGCUUUGGUCGUAUGCUGACAAAAAAGG